UUACAAUAGACCCUAUCAAGGUUAUUGGCCGCCAUCUUGGACUGGGGGCAAACAUUGGGGGCUGACGUCAUAAUAACAAUGGCUGAAUCGAGCUCCGCAGCUGACGAUGCUGCGAAUAUAAUCGCCGCGUAUAAUUUACCUGCGUCGUAACAAGUGUACCUAGGUGUGCAGAAGAGACCCCAAGAAGAGAAGAUAUCCUAGAAACACCUGAAGGCGUGUCUCAUUCUCGGAGUCAGAGUUAAAGACACAGGAUAUGACAUGGCAGGAUGCAGCUAAAGCAGCUCUGAAUCGAGUUCGUUGGAGGACUGUCAUCAAUGGCCUAUGUUCCUCAGAGAAGGACAGGCCGAAAAGAGUGCUCUUUUAACACUGCAUGGAAAUAUAAACAGUAUAUGCCUCAAGUAAAUUUUGAAGAAUCCUAAAUUCAAAUCCAGACUGUGGCAGCCCUACUUGUAGCUGUUGGACUCGUAUGGGAUAACGAUAAUCAAAAGUCACGAUAUCAACACAUGGAUUUUAUCUCAUUUUGACGAAAUGUAGAGAAAUGACAUACAGUCUGUUUUGUGAUAGAAACUAAAAUAGAGAGGGCUUUACAUUGUCCUUUAGAAUUUGCUAGGAAUUUUUUUUUAAUGAACUUUAAAUUACUGCUCAUGUACAUAUUUUUGUUGAAAGAUAAAGUGUACUUAUUUACACCAAUACAAUGAUCAGCUUCAACUAAAUAUCAAAGAUUAACAUUUGCCAUGGAUAUUUUGAUGUUACCAAUUUGACCAAGAUGUUUGCAGAAAAAUCAAAUGCAUGUUUUCUUUCAAAGUUGUUACAAUAAGAGCUAUUAAUAAAAGGAAAAAAAAACAUUUCACAUGAUAUUAAAACUUGUAUUUUUAUUACAGCUUGAAAAAAUACAUGUAAUAAUCAUGAUAAAUAAUAAAUUUGUACAUGUAUGUAAAAUUGUUUGCAAUUGAGAAUACUUGAACUCUCUUUAGCACUUGAUCCUUGGGAUGUCAUGUGCUAUAUAGGAAUGUGAUUUACCCAGCACAUUUUAAAAUUAAGCUCCUUAGAUCUAGCUGCAGGUCUGUUGAAGAAAUUUCAGGGUGAUGAAGGAAGGGGGGUUCAACUUAAAAGUAAUGUUUUGACAAGCAAAAACAAUGUUCAUAUUAAUAAUUUGGGGGACAAGGCAACUGUAUAGAUAAGAUUUUUGUAUUGUGUGAUGUGCACCGGUAUAUACUAUAGUAUUGUAUCCAUUGGAUUUUAUUACUGAGAGGUACAAAGUAACACUCCAAUCCACAUACAGUAAAACUCGGCUAUAACGAAGUCACUGGGACCCGGAAAAUUACUUUACUUUAACCAUUAUUUGUUCUUUCCGUAUAAAGAAUUUGUUAAAUUUGUGUACUUUGGGAUCCAAGAUAACUUCGCUUUAUCCGUGAAUUCGCAAUAUCCGUGUUCCAACUAAACAAGUUUUACUGUACACAUAUGGUUUCUUUCAUGUUUGCUUCCUUUCUUAACAUUAUACAGUGAUCCAUUAACGAGUGAAUCAAAGAAUCUAAUUUUACUACAUUUGUAAUUUUUUUUCAUACAUACAGUUUUUUAGGGGAGGGGAGAUUAGGAUUGUUGUACAAUGAUCAUACAGAGAGGAAAUAUAGGAAUUCCUUGUUUUCCGCUGAAAGCAAAUUUUUCACUUAUUGUCGGACUGAUUGAUGAAGAUACUAUAUUAAUUUUCUUGUUAUUUUUUUUCUUUAAUCAUAAACUUGAAGAUAGUUUGACUGUAUAUUUAAGAUGAAUAUGCUUAAAAUGAAACAAGAGGAUACCUGCUUAAAUUUUUCAUGAGGAAUAUGAGCCAGAUAUUUGGUCUACAGUACUUCUGUGAUCUUUCUCUCCAUUGAAUUAUAUAUUUCCGCAGCUGGAGAAUCACUGAGAUUUCGAAUACCAUUUAUAUAUAAUUAAUGAAAAUAAACAUAUAAAGAUGUAUAAAUUCUAUUUUUAUACCCCAUCCGAAAGAGAGGAGGAACACCGAUGACCGUUUUACUUGUGUGUCACUCAGUCAGUCUGUCUGUCCAAAACAAAUUUAUGAUUUCAGUUUUCUCAGCAACUACUCAUCAAAGAUGCUUG